GACGAACGCUGGCGGCGUGCUUAACACAUGCAAGUCGAACGGAAAGGCCCUUCGGGGUACUCGAGUGGCGAACGGGUGAGUAACACGUGGGUGAUCUGCCCUGCACUUUGGGAUAAGCCUGGGAAACUGGGGCUAAUACCGAAUAUGAUCAUCGGCUUCAUGGUCGGUGGUGGAAAGCUUUUGCGGUGUGGGAUGGGCCCGCGGCCUAUCAGCUUGUUGGUGGGGUAAUGGCCUACCAAGGCGACGACGGGUAGCCGGCCUGAGAGGGUGACCGGCCACACUGGGACUGAGAUACGGCCCAGACUCCUACGGGAGGCAGCAGUGGGGAAUAUUGCACAAUGGGCGCAAGCCUGAUGCAGCGACGCCGCGUGAGGGAUGACGGCCUUCGGGUUGUAAACCUCUUUCAGCACAGACGAAGCGCAAGUGACGGUAUGUGCAGAAGAAGGACCGGCCAACUACGUGCCAGCCGCCGCGGUAA
rnacentral:rRNA from 1 species